UCCCCACCUUCUGCAGCGAAAGUCGAUAGGGAAGAUGAAGAAGCAACCAUUUAGAGGUAUGCUAGUUACAAAAGGCAGAGUUAGAUUGAUAAAGCAUUCAAAGAGCGAAGAGCACUCCUCUGGGGCUUGAGAAUCGUGCGGGGGGACAUUUCUGGGGAGAAUACGUAAUAUAGAAUAGCUAUUUGAUUUUUUAAAAACCGUACACAUGCUAAACUUUGAUAUAAAUUACCUGUCUAUCUGUCUUCUUCGUGAAAAAGGGAGGAGGUGGGACGGAAAAUGUGUUCUGUUCCCAGUUAGUAAGGAAAGUGGGUGAGAAAAUGAAACUCUCUUGUUCCGUUCUUCCUACAGCCUCGCAAGCUGGUGUCUUUCUGUCUCUGUUAGGGCAGAAGGAAACGAGUGAGCAACUGGGAAAUUUGGACUUUAAGAUCUUUAAAAGACCUGUUAACACAAUGCUGACCUGAAACCGAGCCUUGCAGGAGCAGCUCACAGCUGAGGCCUUGCGGAGACACACAAAGAGACAGGGAGGGGAGUUCUGAUCCAGAGAUUCAUUCCCCUCCCCUCCAAACAUGACAGAAGGUUAUGGAACCAGGUCCAGAAGCGAAAGUGCUGGGCUGGGAUUCAUCUAAGGUCUCAAACACAGGAAGAGACCCUACAUAAGAACACGGAAGAGGAAAAAGCAAAUGCCACUUCCUAACAACUAAGCAUUCAAAUCUACAAGCCUAUGGGGGCCAUUUUUAUUCAAACUGCCACACUCUCCAUGUGAACCACCCUCGGUCUGUCAGUGAACACUGUUAAAUACCUGGAACUGGAUUGAAUAUUAAGCUCCUGGGCAAGGAAUCAAGAAGAUUGUCUCAGAUUGAUUUUUUUUUUCCUUUUUAAUUAAAGAAGCAUUGCAG